GACUCCAGCCUCCAACCUCUCCUCGUUUCUGGUUGAGGCCGGGGCGAUCCUGCCCUCCCAUCGCCUCUUAGCGGCUAAGUCCUACGUUUUCUGUCGCUCUCUGAAUAGUCGUUCUUGGUGUUUUUCCUCUCAUUUCGUCCCCUUCAUCCUUUUUUUCCAAGAGUUUUGAUCUUGAUUCGUUCUCACUUAGGAAGCCAAAAAGUCCCGCUCCACGAAAACAGCCCCUCCGUGCGCAGGGUCGGGGCUGUCGCCUCGCUUUCCCAUGUGAGUCGGAGUGAAAUGUGUCGCUAGCCCCAUCCGGGACACACAGCAACGCGCCUGCGAUUAAGGAAACAGCACUUCUGAUUCUCCUUUAGAUGCUGACAAGGGUAACUCCAAAGGCUCAUCCUGUGGUGUGUAGCAGGCACAAGCAACUGCUAAAGGAGCAGGCCUCUUGCAGCUGCCGUGACCCUCACCCUCUGCAAUCGUCUUUGAGACACCUUCUGUUGUGCUCCCUUGUCCCAGAGAUGAAUUCUUUGAUCAUCUACUGCAUCAGUACCCUUCCAGAAAUCCAAUCUGGUGACCUCUACCUCCAACCUCUGCUCUGCCUGCCUACCACAGGGUAACUGUAACCGUUUGCAGCAUCUCAGGAGCGGGUUUCUCCAGCAGGAUUCCUAACAGCUUCACCUCCAGCUACAAGGAGAUGCCUGAAGAAUCUGACAAAAGAAGGGGAAAUAAAGGAAAGGACGAGCAAAGCUGCUGCAGAGAGAGUUGCUGGUGAUGUUGCAAGAAGAGGAAGACACCUGGCUGGAGGCCUAGGGACAUCCAUAGGGAUGUCCUUUGGGAAUGUGGAACUGGAUCUGUCGCCCGUUCUUAUGUGGCAGCAAAGUGCCCCAGCAUCAGUAACUUCCUUCUGCCAAACUGGUGCAACCGGACUGAAAUGCAGCAUGACUUAAAAGCCCUGGACUCUGACCUGGAUAAUAAAAACAACCUGCUUGAUGGAGUCUGACUAAUCUCCCCCACACUGAAAUUCUCAGUAAAACUGAAACAUAUUGAUUCUGGAAGGAGUGGAUGAGACUCAGGUUUCAGGCAAGUCUUCUUCCACCCACAGAAAUACUAUCUUCAAACCUUUCCAGUGUUGAGAUUCAAUCUGAGUAUGGGAUUUGGAUGGGCCAAUGUUAAUACUAACUUUGUACUGGGUAGCGUUUAUCUGAAUGCUUGCCAAACCACGCAGCACACUGCUGUUGCAGCAA